AUCAUGGCGACACGGCUCGGGCCCGCCAGUGCCCCAACGGGGCCCUAGUUCUUUCUUUCUUAGGGCCCGAGCGUAGCUGCUAAGCAGCUGCGAGAGCCCUCUUGUUCCUCGAUGGGUUCUUCUUUCUUCUUUCUUUCUUUAGGGCCCGAGCCACCUGCAACGCAGUGGCAUAGGCCCUAUUAUUCCUGUAUGAGUUUUUCUUUCUUCAUUCUUUCUUUCUUAGGGCCCGAGCCAGCUGCAGAGCAGCCGGGCGUAGAGCCCUAUUAUUCCUGUAUGGGUUCUUCUUUGUUUCUUUCUUAGGGCCCGAGCCACCUGCAACGCAGUGGCGUAGGCCCUAUUAUUCCUGUAUAGGUUUUUCUUUCUUUCUUAUUUUUCCUCCCCUUUGAAGGGGAAAAUGGCCCACUUCCCACUGGCGAAAACUCAUGAAAUUUGGCAGGACGACCGGGCCUGGUGAAAAAUUCGAUAUUCUGAAGUUGCCGAAAAAAUAAUAUGCAAAAUGGCUCCAUAGCGCCCCCUAAGGUGAAAAUUCACACUAUUGAGUGUUACGCCUGUACACUUUGUCAUAUUGACACAAAAAUUGACACACACGUGUAUCUCAAUAAGAUCUACGAAAAAGUCAAUGCGCGUUUGUCUGUCAUGAUCAAUGUACAACUAAAGGGCUAUUUCGCAUUUUUUGCAGAUUCGCACACAUUGGAAUUUCGCUAACUCCUCCGAAGGCUUUCGUUCCACCGGCACCACAUUUGCUCAGGCCAAUCUACACCCCAUGGCCAUUAAAAGUUAUUCAAAUCAUGACGCUGCACCCCACGGUUUAGGUUCUAGGGGGCGCCAAAGAUAACCCUAAAAUCCACAUUUUUAAAAGUCUUAUAACUUUUUAUUUUUGCCCUCACUGGCCUCCAAGUUUUCUAGGAUGAUGCAAUGUCCAGCCAUCAACACAUUUGUGAAGGAAUUUUUACUCCCCAAAAGAGCGCCCCCCCAUGGCAGGAGAAAAAAGUCCAUUUUUUCUUGUCCCCUAAGGUGAAAAUACACAUUGUUGAGUGUCACGCCUGUACGCUUUGGCAAAAUGACACAAAAAUUGACACACACAUGUAUCUCAAUAAGAUCUACAAAAAAGUCCAUGCGCGCGUAUCUGUCUAAUGUACGGUUAAAGGGUUAUUCCGCAUUUUUUGCCGAUUCGCACACAUUGGAAUUUCGCUAACUCCUCCGAAGGCUUUCGUUCCACCGGCACCACAUUUGCUCAGGCCAAAUUACACCCCAUGGCCAUUAAAAGUUAUUCAAAUCAUGACGCUGCACCCCACGGUUUACGUUCUAGGGGGCGCCAAAGAUAACCCAAAAAUCCACAUUUUUAAAAGUCUUUUAACUUUUUAUUUUUGUCCUCACUGGCCUCCAAGUUUUCUAGGAUGAUGCAAUGUCCAGCCAUCAACACAUUUGUGAAGGAAUUUUUACUCCCUAAAAGAGCGCCCCCCCAUGGCAGGAGAAAAAAGUCCAUUUUUUCUUGUCCCCUAAGGUGAAAAUACACAUUGUUGACUGUCACGCCUGUACGCUUUGGCAAAAUGACACAAAAAUUGACAAUCAUGUGUAUCUCAAUUAGAUCUACGAAAAAGUCAAAGAGCGCGUAUCUGUAUAAUGUACGGUAAAAGGGCUAUUUUGCAUUUUUUGCCAAUUCGCACACAUUGGAAUUUCGCUAACUCCUCCUAAGGCCUUCGUCCCACUGACACCAAAUUUGCUCAGGCCAAUCUACACCCCAUGGCCAUUCAAAGUUGUAAAAAUCAUGACGCUGCACCCCACGGUUUACGUUUUAGGGGGCGCCAAAGAUGACCCAAAUAUACAUUACAGUAGACAAAGUAGUUUUGCCCACUGAGUGGCGCCAAAGGGACUUGUCUGUGGAGUCUGUGAGUCACUAUUGGCCGUUUUUGACUACUUUAGAUUUUACCUUUAUAUUUCCUCUUACAAAAUUUUUACCUUGCCUUGCCUGGUAUCAUUUUUUUCAGCACAACCUCACCUGUGUCAAUUUACAGUUAUUUUAUCAUUUUGACAUACUAUAUUUACACAUUGGACCCAAAUUCACACAAAAAACAUAAAAUCCGAGUGGAAAAAAGUAACGUUUUUACUGUGAAAACCACAAAUAUGUGUGAUGAACUGUUUUUAAAACUUAAACUUCAAAUAAAAAUUGUAAACUUCAAAACAUAUGCAAAUUUUUAACAAAGAACAUAGUAAUUUACCUCUAUUGACAUCAAAAUGCAGGCAAUGGCCCAGGUGUUCUUUGUAAAAUUAUUUACAAAACACUGUAUAGUCUCACAAAUGUCACUUUUUAUUUAUGCCACUACAAAAAAACAUGAUGUAAAUGAUGCAUGAUGUAAAACAUGAUGUAAAAAACUUGUGUAGAUCCUCCUCUAUGUCAGUCCAUGUGUAAUUUUUCCAUAAUUCUUUGUUUUUUGCAGCAUUUUUGUUAGUGUAACUGCAGAUUGUGCUGACAGUGUCUAUGGCAAAAAAAAAAAAAAAAAACUGAAAAUGCCUCAACAUGAACCCCUGGUGGUCUCUGAGGGUGAAACCUGCUAACUGCUGCAGCUCUGUCAGCUUCAGUCUCCCAUGCAGAGCUCGGAGCGCAUGUGUGGCUCUGCACCCUUAGCAGUGUUGCUAACUCCUCAGUAAGGAAAGCCUGCUUCAUGUCAGAGUCUCUAAACUCCAGAAGAAGUCGAUAAAAGUCACUUUCUUUCUAAAAAAGUCGUUAGGGGGUCUGAAAAGUCAUUGAAUCUAACAACAAAGUCGCUAGGUUUGCAACUACGUGUCCCAGACUGCAUCCCUGCUGAGAGUCCCUCCCUCCCUUCUCAUAUUGCAGGAAGAACGUAAGUUCCCGCCCCUUGUCAAUCAGUCACCAUAUAAUUUUAGAUUGGUUGUUGUGGUGAAGUUUUCCACCAAUAGGAGAGAUGUUGUGGUGUGUUUUUUUUUUCCUUUGGCAAGCCUUUUCCGCCUGUAAGACCUGUCGCUAAUGUCUGCAUGCUAUGUUUUCUUGUCUCAUACAGCGCGAUCGAGCGCCGAACGUGAUCAAAAUAAGCAGAAAACAAGUAUCGCGGACAUAAUUUAUCAUAACUCUGGUUUUAUUUGGCCUAUCAACACAAUUUAAAAACUGGUAUAUAGGUUGAGGUCCUCACUUUUGAGAUAAAUUGAAACGGAGAGUCAACGAGGCUCUGUCUUGCAGCUACAUCCGGUUAAAUAUGUCAUGUGACUUGAACGCACACACACACACACACACACACACAGACACACACACACACGCACACACACACACUCAGAGUCUGGUUUUUAGCACCUGCAAAAACAUGCUAUUUACAUAUUUGACAAGAAUGCAGAGGCUCCUUUUGCCCCUGAAAAAAAUCAAAUUUCAAACACAACUUGACUGGUCAUUUCUCCAAAAGACAACCAUGAAGCUCCAUCCAAACCUGAAGCAGGCAGUUGGUGCAUGUGUACAGUAACCUGAGGGGAGUGAGGUGAGUGCUUCUGAGGAGAACAUGAGCAGUGAAGAUUCACCUUAGAGCUAGAACAGAGACGUGCACAUGAUUAUACAGGGGCAGGGGCUCAAGUUUUUUCCAGUUGUUUAUACAAUAUGGAAAUUAAUGUGAAAUUAAAAAACAAAGUAUUAAUAGAAAGGUAAUGACUGUCCUGUGUAGGUGACAGUGAUAUCCAAUAGGCUAGGCACUCACGAGGCUGGCUGUGGCAAGUGUAAGUGAAAGCAACACGCACUGGCAGGAAGAACAGCAAACGCCGAUGAAGGAAAAGGGUCUUUGCAGUGAUGGGCGUUACCAGAGAGGGCGAUGGCCAGAGGACACAAAUGGGACGGGGAGGCAGCGCGUUGGGGGGGGGACGCGACACAGCUCGGGCCCGCCAGUGCCCCAACGGGGUCCUAGUUCCUGUAUAGGUUUUUAGGGCCCGAGCGUAGCUGCUAAGCAGCUGCGAGAGCCCUCUUGUUCCUGCAUGUUUCCUUCUUUUGUUAUUAUUAGGGCCCGAGCGUAGCUGCUAAGCAGCUGCGAGAGCCCUCUUGUUCCUGCAUGUUUCCUUCUUUAGGGCCCGAGCCAGCUGCAGAGCAGCCGGGCGUAGGCCCUAUUAUUCCCCAAGUGGUUUUUCUUUGUUUCUUUCUUUAGGGCCCGAGCCAGCUGCAGAGCAGCCGGGCGUAGGCCCUAUUAUUCCCCAAGUGGUUUUUCUUUGUUUCUUUCUUUCUUUUUAGGGCCCGAGCGUAGCUGCUAAGCAGCUGCGAGAGCCCUCUUGUUCCUGAUGGAUUCUUCUUUUGUUAUUAUUAGGGCCCGAGCCAGCUGCAGAGCAGCCGGGCGUAGAGCCCUAUUAUUCCUGAUGAGUUUUUCUUUCUUCUUUCUUUCUUUCUUUCUUUCUUUCUUCUUAUUUUUCCUCCCCUUUGAAGGGGAAAAUGGCCCACUUCCCACUGGCGAAAACUCAUGACAUUUGGCAGGAUGACCGGGCCUGGUGAAAAAUUCGAUAUUCUGAAGUCGCCCAAACAAUAAAAUGCAAAAUGGCUCCAUAGCGCCCCCUAAGGUGGAAAUUCACACUAUUGACUGUCACGCCUGUACGCUUUGUCAUAUUGACACAAAAAUUGACACACACAUGUAUCUCAAUACGAUCUACAAAAAAGUCAGUGUGGGUGUAUCUGUCAAAUGUACGGUUAAAGGGUUAUUUCGCAUUUUUUGCCGAUCCACACACAUUGGAAUUUCGCUAACUCCUCCGAAGGCUUUCGUUCCACCGGCACCAAAUUUGCUCAGGCCAAUCUACACCCCAUGGCCAUUCAAAGUUGUACAAAUCAUGACGCUGCACCCCACGGUUUAGGUUGUAGGGGGCGCCAAAGAUAACCCAAAAAUCCACAUUCUUAAAAGUCUUAUAACUUUUUAUUUUUGUCCUCACUGGCCUCCAAGUUCUCUAGGAUGAUGCAAUGUCCAGCCAUCAACACAUUUGUGAAGGAAUUUUUACUCCCCAAAAGAGCGCCCCCCCAUGGCAGGAGAAAAAAGGCCAUUUUUUCUUGUCCUAUAAGGUGAAAAUACACAUUGUUGAGUGUCACGCCUGUACGCUUUGUCAUAUUGAAACAAAAUUUGAUAAUCACGUGUAUCUCAAUAAGAUCUACGAAAAAGUCAAUGUGCACGUGUCUGCAAAAUGUACGGUUAAAGGGCUAUUUCGCAUUUUUGGUUGAUUCGCACACAUUGGAAUGUGGCUAACUCCUCCUAAAGCUUUCGUUCCACCGGCACCAAAUUUGCUCAGGCCAAUCUACACCCCAUGGCCAUUAAAAGUUGUACAAAUCAUGAUGCUGCACCCCACGGUUUACGUUCUAGGGGUCGCCAAAGAUAACCCAAAAAUCCACAUUCUUAAAAGUCUUAUAACUUUUCAUUUUUGUCCUCACUGGCUUCAAAGUUUUCUAGGAUGAUGCAAUGUCUAGCCAUCAACACAUUUGUGAAGGAAUUUUUCUCCCUAAAAGAGUGCCCCCCCAUGGCAGGAGAAAAAGUCAAGUUUUUCCUGCCCAUCGCUCAAUGGCUCAAACACAUCGCUCUCUCGGAAAAAAACGAAAGGAGGAGGAACUUGCCAUUUGGAUAUAUCCUAGCUGUGUUUGUGCCCUCACUCAUGGUCCAGACUUUUUUCAAAUAGGACAUGUAGUUUGUCUGCAGCAAGCGUUUUGGUAAAAACUGCGCCUCCCAUUCAUUAUAAUGGUAAAUGACCACAGACAAGUGCGCACACCAUCGUUGAACCUUGAGUGUGACGCGAUCGGGAGGGAGAGGCGGUCGUGUUGGGGGCGGCGUGACACAGCUCGGGCCCGCCAGUGCCCCAACGGGGCCCUAGUUAUUAUUUUUCCUCCGCUUUAAACUGGAAAAUGGCCCACUUCCCACUGGCGGAGACUCAUGAAAUUUGGCAGGACGACCGGGCCUGGUGAAAAAUUCGAUAUUCUGAAGUCGCCCAAACAAUAAAAUGCAAAAUGGCUCCAUAGCGCCCCCUAAGGUGGAAAUUCACACUGUUGACUGUCACGCCUGUACGCUUUGCCAUUUUGACACAAAAAUUGACACACACAUGUAUCUCAAUAAGAUCUACAAAAAAGUCAGUGCGGGCGUAUCUGUCAAAUGUACGGUUAAAGGGUUAUUUCGCAUUUUUUGCCGAUCCGCACACAUUGAAAUUUCGCUAACUCCUCCGAAGGCUUUCGUUCCACCGGCACCACAUUUGCUCAGGCCAAUCUACACCCCAUGGCCAUCGAAAGUUGUACAAAUCAUGACGCUGCACCCCACGGUUUAGGUUCUAGGGGGCGCCAAAGAUAACCAAAAAUCCACAUUCUUAAAAGUGUUAUAACUUUUUAUUUUUUUCCUCACUGGCCUCCAAGUUCUCUAGGAUGAUGCAAUGUCCAGCCAUCAACACAUUUGUGAAGGAAUUUUUACUCCCCAAAAGAGCGCCCCCACAUGGCAGGAGAAAAAAGUCCAUUUUUUCUUGUCCCCUAAGGUGAAAAUACACAUUGUUGACUGUCACGCCUGUACGCUUUGUCAUAUUGACACAAAAAUUGACACACACAUGUAUCUCAAUAAGAUCUACGAAAAAGUCAAUGGGCACGUAUCUGUAAAAUGUACGGUUAAAGGGCUAUUUUGCAUUUUUUGCUGAUUCGCACACAUUGGAAUGUGGCUAACUCGUCCUACAGCUUUCGUCCCACUGACACCAAAUUUGCUCAGGCCAAUCUACACCCCAUGGCCAUUCAAAGUUGUAAAAAUCAUGACGCUGCACCCCACGGUUUACGUUCUAGGGGGCGCCAAAGAUGACCCAAAUAUCCAUAUUCUUAAAAGUGUUAUAACUUUUUAUUUUUGUCCUCACUGGCCUCCAAGUUCUCUAGGAUGAUGCAAUGUCCAGCCAUCAACACAUUUGUGAAGGAAUUUUUACUCCCCAAAAGAGCGCCCCCCCAUGGCAGGAGAAAAAAGGCCAUUUUUUCUUGUCCUAUAAGGUGAAAAUACACAUUGUUGAGUGUCACGCCUGUACGCUUUGUCAUAUUGAAACAAAAUUUGAUAAUCACGUGUAUCUCAAUAAGAUCUACGAAAAAGUCAAUGUGCACGUGUCUGCAAAAUGUACGGUUAAAGGGCUAUUUCGCAUUUUUGGUUGAUUCGCACACAUUGGAAUGUGGCUAACUCCUCCUAAAGCUUUCGUUCCACCGGCACCAAAUUUGCUCAGGCCAAUCUACACCCCAUGGCCAUUAAAAGUUGUACAAAUCAUGAUGCUGCACCCCACGGUUUACGUUCUAGGGGUCGCCAAAGAUAACCCAAAAAUCCACAUUCUUAAAAGUCUUAUAACUUUUCAUUUUUGUCCUCACUGGCUUCAAAGUUUUCUAGGAUGAUGCAAUGUCUAGCCAUCAACACAUUUGUGAAGGAAUUUUUUCUCCCUAAAAGAGUGCCCCCCCAUGGCAGGAGAAAAAGUCAAGUUUUUCCUGCCCAUCGCUCAAUGGCUCAAACACAUCGCUCUCUCGGAAAAAAACGAAAGGAGGAGGAACUUGCCAUUUGGAUAUAUCCUAGCUGUGUUUGUGCCCUCACUCAUGGUCCAGACUUUUUUCAAAUAGGACAUGUAGUUUGUCUGCAGCAAGCGUUUUGGUAAAAACUGCGCCUCCCAUUCAUUAUAAUGGUAAAUGACCACAGACAAGUGCGCACACCAUCGUUGAACCUUGAGUGUGACGCGAUCGGGAGGGAGAGGCGGUCGUGUUGGGGGCGGCGUGACACAGCUCGGGCCCGCCAGUGCCCCAACGGGGCCCUAGUUAUUAUUUUUCCUCCGCUUUAAACUGGAAAAUGGCCCACUUCCCACUGGCGAAAACUCAUGAAAUUUGGCAGGACGACCGGGCCUGGUGAAAAAUUCGAUAUUCUGAAGUCGCCCAAACAAUAAAAUGCAAAAUGGCUCCAUAGCGCCCCCUAAGGUGGAAAUUCACACUGUUGACUGUCACGCCUGUACGCUUUGCCAUUUUGACACAAAAAUUGACACACACAUGUAUCUCAAUAAGAUCUACAAAAAAGUCAGUGCGGGCGUAUCUGUCAAAUGUACGGUUAAAGGGUUAUUUCGCAUUUUUUGCCGAUCCGCACACAUUGAAAUUUCGCUAACUCCUGCGAAGGCUUUCGUUCCACCGGCACCACAUUUGCUCAGGCCAAUCUACACCCCAUGGCCAUCGAAAGUUGUACAAAUCAUGACGCUGCACCCCACGGUUUAGGUUCUAGGGGGCGCCAAAGAUAACCAAAAAAUCCACAUUCUUAAAAGUGUUAUAACUUUUUAUUUUUUUCCUCACUGGCCUCCAAGUUUUCUAGGAUGAUGCAAUGUCCAGCCAUCAACACAUUUGUAAAGGAAUUUUUACUCCCGAAAAAGAGCGCCCCCCCAUGGCAGGAGAAAAGAGUCCAUUUUUUCUUGUCCCCUAAGGUGAAAAAACACAUUGUUGACUGUCACGCCUAUACACUUUGUCAAAAUGACACAAAAUUUGACACACACGUGUAUCUCAAUAAGAUCUACGAAAAAGUCAAUGGGCACGUAUCUGUAAAAUGUACGGUUAAAGAGCUAUUUCGCAUUUUUUGCCGAUUCGCACACAUUGGAAUGUGGCUAACUCCUCCUAAGGCUUUCGUCCCACCAACACCAAAUUUGCUCAAGCCGAUCUACAUCCCAUGGCCAUUCAAAGUUGUAGAAAUCAUGACGCUGCUCCCCACGGUUUACGUUCUAGGGGGCGCCAAAGAUGACCCAAAUAUCCACAUUCUUAAAAGAAGGCAGGAGAAAAAGUCAAGUUAACCCUGCCCAUCGGUCAAUGGCUCAAUCGCAUCGCUCUCCCAGCAACACCGUAAGGAGGAGCAACUUGCCAUUUGGAUAUAUCCUAGCUGUGUUUGUGCCCUCACUCAUGGUCCAGACUUUUUUCAAAUAGGACAUGUAGUUUGUCUGCAGCGAGUGUUUUGGUAGAAACUGCGCCUCCAUUCAUUAUAAUGGGAAAUGACCACAGACAAGUGCGCACACCAUCUUUGGACCUUGAGUGUGACGCGAUCGGGAGGGGGAGGCGGACGCACUGGGGGUGGCGCGACGCGGCUCGGGCCCGACAGUGCCCCACCGGGGCCCUAGUUAUUAUUUUUCCUCCGCUUUAAACUGGAAAAUGGCCCACUUCCCACUGGCGAAAACUCAUGAAAUUUGGCAGGACGACCGGGCCUGGUGAAAAAUUCGAUAUUCUGAAGUCGCCCAAACAAUAAAAUGCAAAAUGGCUCCAUAGCGCCCCCUAAGGCGAAAAUUCACACUAUUGACUGUCACGCCUGUACGCUUUGUCAUAUUGACACAAAAAUUGACACACACGUGUAUCUCAAUACGGUCUACGAAAAAGUCAGCGCGGGCGCAUCUGUGAAAUGUACGGUUAGAGGGUUAUUUCGCAUUUUUUGCCGAUCUGCACACAUUGGAAUUUCGCUAACUCCUCCGAAGGCAUUCGUUCCACCGGCACCACAUUUGCUCAGGCCAAUCUACACCCCAUGGCCAUUCAAAGUUGUACAAAUCAUGACG
rnacentral:lncRNA from 1 species